rnacentral:rRNA from 1 species
GACGAACGCUGGCGGCGUGCUUAACACAUGCAAGUCGAACGGAAAGGCCCUGCUUUUGUGGGGUGCUCGAGUGGCGAACGGGUGAGUAACACGUGAGUAACCUGCCCUUGACUUUGGGAUAACUUCAGGAAACUGGGGUAAAUACGGGAAAGAGCUCCUGGUGCCUGGUGGGGGGUGGGAAGGUUUGGCGGUUGGGGAUGGACUCGCGGCUUAUCAGCUUGGUUGGUGGGUAGUGGCUUACCAAGGCUUUGACGGGUAGCCGGCCUGAGAGGGUGACCGGCCACAUUGGGACUGAGAUACGGCCCAGACUCCUACGGGAGGCAGCAGUGGGGAAUAUUGCACAAUGGGCGGAAGCCUGAUGCAGCAACGCCGCGUGCGGGAUGACGGCCUUCGGGUUGUAAACCGCUUUCGCCUGUGACGAAGCGUGAGUGACGGUAAUGGGUAAAGAAGCACCGGCUAACUACGUG